UAGGUUUCUAGACAUGGUGAUCUGUGAUCUGGAAGAUAUUUUUCAAUUCUUGUCCAAUCACUUUUUUUUAUUGGAGACCUAUGACUUGUGCUGGAAAACUCAUUGCCUUUACCAAGAAGAUGCAUAACAAGAGUUGGGAUGACUUACCUCAACAGAUACAAUUUGAUUUUUACAAACUGGUGAGUGAUCUUACCAUCUUACACCAUCCAGUUCUCUGUGUGACACCAGAAUUUUGACCUUCCCUGUCUCUGCAGGCUCUUUUCUUCCUGCUUUCUUCCAAGAGCACCUGAAAUCAUAAACUUCAUCUAUGCUGGGUCUUAGCUCCCACAUGUCCGAGGUUGAAGAAUGACUCUAGAAAUGGUGGUAGUGUGAAGAAGAUCAUUCCUCCCCAGUUUAAAGGUAGUAAUCAUGGUUAAUAAGCUGCUUCUCUGUAUCUCUGUAUGAGAUUCAGAAGAAGGAGGAAAAGGGGAAGAAAACCAACUAACAUUGCUUAGAGGAUUUUAACUAGAGUGGGCUCUCCAGUCUCACAAAUGUUCCAGUCUUGGCUAGGGAACCUCCACUGGAGAUGAAUAGGGUCAAGAGGAGGUGAUCUCAUGAAGCAAAAGCAGUUGAUUGUCACUUCGAACCUGGGCUUCACAGCUGAAGGCUGUGAUUGACUCACACAAUAACAAGGACUGGAGUUGAGUGAGGAGGUGAGGGAAUUUGAUCUCCCACAGAACACCUAAAGUAUAGCCCAACUCUCCUUACCCUAUUUCCCUCCUUGUAGCCUGCAAAGUGAGAAGCCUCCUUAAUCAAAGAAGGAGAUCAGUGAAGUCCUUUCUGCCUGUCUUUUGUUUUUCCUUCCCUGUCCCCUUCUUUGUGUUAUUUUUCUUAUGCUAUCAAAUUUUCCCACUCCAGAAUCCCUUAAUGGUGAGAGUAAUCCUCCUGGGGUGCUGAAAAUAGUUUGGUUUUAAUGAUACCUUGGAUGAUUUUGCUUCCUAAGAGAAAGGUUUAGCAAAGUCAUUGAUGUAAACAGAGCCACUGGUCCCCUGUUUUUACAAUUCUCUUCCUUUUCCCAACAAGCUCUGCUCAGCUCACCUCUGCUCUUCACACCAUUGCAGUCUAAAUGCUUUCAUCCUGGGCCUCUCCAGGACCUCCUCCUGCUCCACUGAGCCCAUGCUUUUUUGUCCCUGCACAACUGGAGCCUGGUGCAGUAAUUACAGCUGCAAUGAAAGGGUUUGUCUCCCUUGGGCACUCACGAUGUUGCCAGUGCUGCUGGUGAAGAACUGAGCCACUUUUGUAGGGCAUCAUAGGGCCGUGGUGCUCUGGGACAUCAGACAGCAAGAUGUUUGGAACCCUACCCACUCCUCUUUCUCUCCCCUACUCUGCACCCUUCUUCUUUUUACUCCUGACCCAGCCCCAAACUUCCUACCACACUUUGUAUCUUUUUGGCAGGAUUUUCUGUCCCAGAAGGCAUGAAAGCAGUUGGAACAAAGGCAGUUUGGCAAAAACAUAUUGAGUCAUAUUUUAAGAAUCUCCUGAUAUUACUGCACCUCUGGUUCUGCCUAAGGAGUAAAGAAGCUUCAGAGGCUGCGUCUAGCUGGAAUUAUACUCCCAAGAGCCCAGGCCCUCCAGAACCCAGCAGGAAUCCACAAAGAAAAGCAGACUCUGCUGAAGCAUAGGGCUUGACUGUACAUCCUUAUCCCCUAGUGUUGCUGUCUCAAAUCACCUCAUCCUGAUACUCCUUCUCUCCUUACCUGCCUUCAUUCUUAAGAGCUACUGUUCCUUCAAGCUCUGUCACACUGGCCUUUGUCCAUUGCUGUUUCUGGUUGUGGGUACCUUUCAAGCCUCCCAUGCUUGCUGGACUGUCUCAACUUCUGAUUUUUUGCAUGCUUUGACUAUAAGUCAAUAUAAAUGUCAAUAUCAUAAAACCAUGUCAUGGUAUGUCCUCAUUGUCAUCAUCAUUAUCACCAAAAUCAUCCUUUAAAUUUAUUGACAUGCCACUUUGACUUAAUCUUGGUUUUCAUAAAGGUCUUCUGUCAAAAGGCAGAUAAAAAUAAACAAGCAAGUAGUUAAAAAUGGCAUAUAAACAGAGACUACCAUACACACUUUACACAGAAGGAAAUGGAGACUUUGGCUAAAUGUAUUGCAUCUGGCAACAACAUUCCUUCAAUUGUUUAUUUAUUCAUGCACUUGUUCAGUCAUUCAAGAAUGAAUUAGUGGGUGCCUGCUACCUGUUAUGUACUGUGUUUGAAACAGAAGAAUAAAUAAAAUUAUAGUUUUCUCCAGGAAGCUCAAAGUUUAGUGAAAGACUCAGACAUAAUAGCAUGUAAUUAUAGUACAAUAAAAGUGGGUGCAUAAGUAAUAUAUUCAUCAUGUUGUAGGUUCACAGGAGAGGAUCAUUUACCUCCAGUUGUUAAAUGUGAAAGAAUCAGGGAUGGCGUCCUGGAAGAGGUGACUACUAAUCUGACUGUAAACAUUGAUUCAGAGUUAUUCAAAAGAAAGAAAAUGAAAUGGGUGAGGUAGAGGCAAAGAGAAAUAUUCUAGGCAAUGGAGAUAAGAGAAAAGACGUGAAAAUGGGAAAUUGCAUGGUGUACUUAGAAGGAUAAAAUUCAUUUUUUGUUAUUGAAGCAUAAAGUAUGAAGUUGUUGUAAUCCAAAUAAAGUUGAACUCACUUGUUGAUGGUCCCAUUAUGACACUGUUUCCAUGGAAGCAAGUUUGAUCACACCUGCUAAGAAAACAAAAACAAAAAUUAAUGUAAGCAAAAUCUGUAUUCAAAUCUUCAAAGGGGUCCCCAAAGGACAAAUGUUUUCCAUAACAGGUCGUAAAAUAGUUGAAUGUUGAUUUUUUGCCAGUCUUUCUAUUUCACUCACAGUUUGGCAAUCUUUUCUCUUUCCCUUUCACAUUCCAUGAGAAUUCUAUGCUACCCAGAUCUCUACUUUCUUCCUUUAUCUGCUUUCCUCUUUCCAUAAUAAUUUUCUCAGAUUUCUAACAUAAACCAAAUAGGCUUCUUCUCUUAACUUCUUCAUUAAGCAGCACUAACCAUUGUUCUGCUUAACAUUAGGGCUACAAACCAAGAAAACAUCUAUACCUUGAUAUGUAAUGAGGUUUGAGAAGUAUAUGAAGAGUGAAUCAUGAAUGGCUAAACAGACAGUGAACAUAAGGGAAGAACAAGGGCUUUUUAUUUAAAAAAGUCUUGCAGUCAUAAUUUAAAUUAUCACAGCUUUUGUCAUUCUGAGAGCAGCCAGCUGCCAUGCCAUGCCCUGACGACACCGAGAGUUCUUGUGGUGAGAAAAUCCUGCCAACAACCUACAUUUAACCUGCCAGCCUGGAGCCUGGAGCCUGCAAGCCGCCUGGGAAGUGCAUCCUCCACUUCCAAGUGGAUCCUCCAGCCUGGGUCAACAUUCAAAUGACUGCAGCACCAAGUGAUAUCAUGACUGCACCCUCAUGAGAAAGCCUGGACCUAAAGAGACACAGCUCUGAAUUCCUGACCCACAGAUAUCGUGUGAGAUAAUAAAUAUGCAUUGCUUGCAGCCACUAAUUUUUGAGGUGACUUGUUAGUCAGCAGUAAAUAGCGAAUGCGUCCAUCCAAGUCAGCGCUUGUAUUGUUAAUGGCUGCUCGGCCUCCCUUUUUGAAGCUUUAUUAUCUGCAUAAGGGUAACGAUAGCUAUGGAGGUGUGUACUUACUUCUUGUCUUCUUUGAAAUCUUUGUUUCAUAAAGAUAAGUUAUGCCAUGAUUUGAGCAUCGUCUGUGUUAAUUAAAUCAAGUCUAUCUUC